rnacentral:misc_RNA from 1 species
GAUGAAGAACGCAGCGAAAUGCGAUAAGUAAUGUGAAUUGCAGAAUUCAGUGAAUGAUCGAAUCUUUGAACGCACCUUGCGCCCUUUGGCCAUUCCGAAGGGCAUGCCUGUUUGAGUAUCAUGAACACCUCAACUCUUCAUGGUUUUCCAUGAUGAGCUUGGACUUUGGGGGUCUUGCUGGCCUGUGGGUCGGCUCCUCUCAAAUGAAUCAGCUUGCCGGUUUUUGGUGGGCAUCACAGGUGUGAUAACUAUCUACGCUUGUGGUUUUCCACCAGGGUAACCUUCAGCAGUGGAGGUUCACUGGAGCUUACAAAUGUCUCUCCUCUGUGAGGACAGCCCUUUGAAUGUUUGAUCUCAAAUCAGGUAGGACUACCCGCUGAACUUAAGCAUAUCAAUAAGCGGAGGA